rnacentral:rRNA from 1 species
GACGAACGCUGGCGGCGUGCUUAACACAUGCAAGUCGAACGGAAAGGCCCUGCUUUUGUGGGGUGCUCGAGUGGCGAACGGGUGAGUAACACGUGAGUAACCUGCCCUUGACUUUGGGAUAACUUCAGGAAACUGGGGCUAAUACCGGAGAGGAGCUCCUGCUGCAUGGUGGGGGUUGGAAAGUAUCGGCGGUUGUGGAUGGACUCGCGGCUAAUCAGCUUGUUGGUGGGGUAGUGGCUUACCAAGGCUUUGACUGGUAGCCGGCCUGAGAGGGUAGCCGGGCACCAGAGGACUAAGGUAGGGCGCAGUCGGGAACGGGGGACAACAGGCGGGAGCCUUAUCCAGCGGUGGGGAGCGUGUGAAGAAGGCCCCCGGAGCGGAAAGAAGGCCAAGGGGUGAUGAACCGCAUUAACCUGAGACCAUGCGUGUGUGACGGUAAUGAGUAAAGAAGCACCGGCUAACUACGUG